rnacentral:rRNA from 1 species
UGGGGAAUAUUGCACAAUGGGCGAAAGCCUGAUGCAGCGACGCCGCGUGAGGGAUGACGGCCUUCGGGUUGUAAACCUCUUUCAGUAGGGACGAAGCGCAAGUGACGGUACCUGCAGAAGAAGCACCGGCUAACUACGUGCCAGCAGCCGCGGUAAUACGUGGGGUGCGAGCGUUGUCCGGAAUUACUGGGCGUAAAGAGCUCGUAGGCGGUUUGUCACGUCGUCUGUGAAAUCCUAGGGCUUAACCCUGGACGUGCAGGCGAUACGGGCUGACUUGAGUACUACAGGGGAGACUGGAAUUUCUGGUGUAGCGGUGGAAUGCACAGAUAUCAGGAAGAACACCGAUGGCGAAGGCAGGUCUCUGGGUAGUAACUGACGCUGAGGAGCGAAAGCAUGGGUAGCGAACAGG